CCUACGGGCGGCAGCAGUGGGGAAUAUUGCACAAUGGGGGAAACCCUGAUGCAGCGACGCCGCGUGAGUGAAGAAGUAAUUCGUUAUGUAAAGCUCUAUCAGCAGGGAAGAAAAUGACGGUACCUGAGUAAGAAGCCCCGGCUAACUACGUGCCAGCAGCCGCGGUAAUACGUAGGGGGCAAGCGUUAUCCGGAUUUACUGGGUGUAAAGGGAGCGUAGACGGCAGUGCAAGUCUGGAGUGAAAGGCGGGGGCACACCCCCCGGACUGCUCUGGAAACGGUACGGCGGGAGUGCAGGAGAGGUAAGUGGAAUUCCUGGGGGAGCGGGGAAAGGCGUAGAUAUUAGGAGGA
rnacentral:rRNA from 1 species